CACUAGCGUUUCAUGUUGUCAGAGCGCACCUUCCCUCUUAAUUGAUAACCACUGCCAUUUGAUCUGAAGGCGUUCAAACACACAGUCUAUCUUUGUGCCUCCAAUAAGAAAACCAUCUGUUGUUGCUGAGCGAUCGUUCAUUACAAUGUAUUUCCUACUGCAGGAAUAUCUCACCAGCUGAAUUCCUGGACACCAUGGGUGCCUGUAGAUAAACUCCUGUAGGGCCUCCAGCCUCAGUCCAGACAUAACUGAUCAUGACACAGAGCCUUGGAGACGGAGUGAGGGAUAGGAGGUGAAGACAUGUCGGGUAGACAUGGCCCUUCCACAAGGCCUGGCCAAUAAGAGCUCAGAUAUCUAGGAGGGCCAAGCUGUGUGUUUAGAACAGCAGCGGAGGCCAGGCUUCCUUUUGUUCUAAGUCUGAUGAGGAGGGGAACCCUGCUAGGCUGCUAUGAGCGCUCAUCAUCGCCCUGCGCAGCCCCACAGCCCUGCCAAGCUGUCGACAGCACAUUUCUCACAGACUGGGGGGUGUGAUUGACAGGGUAAGGAGUAAGGAGAGCAGCUUUUGGUACAGAGAGAUCUUUAUCUUCCUGUAAGGCAGAUAGAUGUACCACAGUGUUCUGCUAAGGACCCAGGGACGGAACGUUGGGUGAGAAUAGAACACAGAAUGUACAGUAGAGAUGCUUCUAGAACUGGUGUGUGUUGUGGUGUCAACCUAGACUUGACCUUUUGUUGCAGAUAAACACACACAUACAUAGAUAGAAUCACAAAUAACAACAUUAGCCAUAAAAAAGUAUUCUUUAGAAUUACACUGUUGAGUUUGUUGUUUCAUGGUCACCUUGGGUUGUGCUCAUGAAUCUCUGUAAAUUGUGGCACGUAAGAUAAAAUAUCAAUAUUUCUUGUGCAAGUCCAGGCAGUCAAUGUCAAAGGCGUUUUUUCAAGUUCUGCAUCAACAAAGCAAUUUGUUUCCCUUGAGUAUACUAAUUUCUGGAUUUCACAGUGGCAGGUGUUAUGGCUGCCAGUCAUUAUAUGAAAAUCAGCAAAAUCCUAACCAUGGUGCUUAUCCUCCUGACAAAAUGGGACUGAUUCCUUCUGCCUGAUUUGACAACCUGGUCUCAGAGCAUUUUCUAUUAUUCUGUAUGUAAAUCCGAGACACUCUAUUUAGUAUGAUAUGUUACGUUUCAUAUGGCACAGUAUGUAUUAAUUUGUGGAUGUCCAUCACCCAUUUCAUAUGAUAUGUUACGAAUAACCAUUUUUAUUACAUGUUAUGCAUUUUCAAAACAUACAAUAUGUUACGCAUUCGCAAAAAAAUUGAGCAUCCCAAAUUUACAUUUAGUGUGUUACAUCUAGUCUCUGAGACUGGGCUGGAUUUGAGGGAGGGCAGGCAGAAGACAGGUUAACUUUCUGAUUUGAGGGAGGGCAGGCAGAAGACAGGUUAACUUUCUGAUUUGAGGGAGGGCAGGCAGAAGACAGGUUAAGUUUAUGAUUUGAGGGAGGGCAGGCAGAAGACAGGUUAACUUUCUGAUUUGAGGGAGGGCAGACAGGAGACAGGUUAACUUUCUGAUUUGAGGGAGGGCAGGCAGAAGACAGGUUAACUUUCUGAUUUGAGGGAGGGCAGGCAGAAGACAGGUUAACUUUCUGAUUUGAGGGAGGGCAGGCAGGAGACAGGUUAACUUUCUGAUUUGAGGGAGGGCAGGCAGGAGACAGGUUAACUUUCUGAUUUGAGGGAGGGCAGGCAGAAGACAGGUUAACUUUCUGAUUUGAGGGAGGGCAGGCAGGAGACAGGUUAACUUUCUGAUUUGAGGGAGGGCAGGCAGGAGACAGGUUAACUUUCUGAUUUGAGGUAGGGCAGGCAGGUGACAGGUUAACUUCCUGAUUUGAGGGAGGGCAGGCAGGAGACAGGUUAACUUCCUGAUUUGAGGUAGGGCAGGCAGGUGACAGGUUAACUUCCUGAUUUGAGGAGGGGAGGCGGAAGGUAGGUUAACUUCUUUCCAUCUUAUAUGUGCUUUAAUUUAAGAACAAAAAUUCCAAACCGUUUUUGUCUCAACAGACAGCAUUUCUGAUUCCAACAGUCUCCACAGAAUUACUCCACUCUUUUCCCUCAGACAAAGAUCAGUGUUGUUUGAUACAAGCAUUUUGCAUUAACAAUUAACAAUGCAUGACUAUAGCACCCUUGUGAAUUGUGAGGUUGCCAUAAAUAUAUAAGGGAUGCCUUGCAAUAUUAAAGUUAAUAGCAUCGGGGAGAAGAUGUGCAAAAAUGCACUGGUUGAGGAAAACAGUGAAUCCAUACUUCAGCGAAUGCUUGAGUUAUGCGCCUGUAGCAACCUGCACGCAGUUCUGAAUGUGUGGUAAAAACAGAGCUUUGCACAAAGAUGUGUUUUAUAUUCGUGCGAACAUUCCUAUCGCUGUAAAAGAGAAGUGUGGGUCAACUCAGUCCCUGGCAGAACAUAUCCACUUUGUCUGAAAUGGAAAUGGAGGGAUGACUUGAAAAAUAAAAACUCUUAAAGAUCAGUGUCUGAAGAUAUAGAAAAUAACAAAAUACAGAAACGUGUUAUUGUAUGUCUUGUUUCACUUGAGAACAGCGUUCCUCUCAGAGGCCAUAGAAUUGUCUGCUAAUUCACAACAUAAACAUUUUAUUUUGACAGUUCAUUAAUCAGUCAGUUGUAAAAAAAACAAUCGGGAGGUAUGGUAAGGUAUGGCUACCAUAUGUUAUUUCUGAAUAACUAAAUAUUGUGUCAAAAGUAGUUUUCAGAUUAAUUGCUGUGAACAUGUACAUAUUGAAAUUGAAAUAGAUAAAUGUAUAUGCAAAAUGUGUACAUCUGCAGCCAUAGUUUCUGCACAUAUUUUUAUAUUUUUAUAUUAUGGAUGAACAUUAUAACUAGGGCUGUCAAACAAUUAAAAAAGUAGAUUUUUGUUAAUUGCAGGAUUUACUGUGAUUAAUCACAAUUAAUCGCAAAUUCCGAAUUUGCUCAAAUAGAGCUGCUAAAAAGCAUUGAUUUUGUAAUGGUAAGUAAUGGAAAGCACAAUCAGGUCAAUUGAUAAAGCAUAUUGUGUUUUGGAUGUUUUCAGUGUAUUUUUAAUGAUUUCAGACAAUGAGAUUAAUCGUGAAAAAAAAUGGUGUAAUUGUGAUAGUAAUUCAUCUGUGUAGUGUAAUAUAAUACAUUACAAUGGUUUUGGAGUAUGAAGCAGUUUCAUUGCAGUUAUGUUCAUGUCAUAGAAGCUAUGUUGUUGUUGAGAUAUACAGUAUGUUUAGAUUUACUGAGAGCAGCAUUCCAUUUUGGGCAUUCAUUAUGUACACUUGUGUUGAGCUAAUUGAGUCAAUCAGCUACAGAAAUAACAUGAGGAGAUAAAGAUUCAUCUAAAGUGAUAGGGUGUGUGUGUGUGUGUGUGUGUGUGUGUGUGUGUGUGUGUGUGUGUGUGUGUGUGUGUGUGUGUGUGUGUGUGUGUGUAUGUGUGUGUGUGUGUAUGUGUGUGUGUGUGUGUGUGUGUGUGUGUGUGUGUGUGUGUGUGUGUGUGUGUGUGUCUAUACAUGCACAUUUUAGGAAUAUGUUCUGGUUAAUAUGAAUAUUGUAGUUAAUGAUAAUUCAUGAUAACAGUAAGUAUCAUUUUUUGUUAUUAUUAUUAAUAUUAUUAUUAUUAUAGAUAACUUUGGUAAGAAUAAUUUCCUAAUUUUGGACAUUGAACCAAAUUGAACAAUGAACUUGUGUUUAUCAUUCCCCGUUUCUUUAUGCACAUAUACAACUAAUGGAAUCAAUCUUGGCAGAACACCGAGUCAUUUAUUUGAAGGAAAACCCACACUUGAUAAAUUAUUUAAAGCAACUGGGAUUACAAUAUGUUAUCAAAUCAGAGCCAACAAAGUCUUCUCUUUCUCUCGCUCUGCGCUGUCGGCAGAGAGGAGACGUGUACCAGCCAGUCUUCAGAACCGGGGUGGGUCUGAUGCUAAAUAAAGAGACAUUCCCUGCAAACUGCUUAUGAUUCCAGAAUAAUUGGUAAAUUCCACAUCGAGGUACAUACUGUAGACUCUGUUAUUCAAAUGUGGCCUUUGUUGGCCUUGUUUACAGGAAUGUUAAUUGGGCUAUUGACACUCUCUGAGUGGACUCCUGUUCUCCUCCUUCAGCUUGUCUUAUUUUCUCUCUCGCUCGUUAUAUUUUCGUUGUUUCAUUCCCUACUUCUGAAUGAACUUUGUUUCACGGUCUCCUUUUCUCUCCAGUCUCAGACGGUGUUAGUUUACUGAAGGUACUUGCUGUUGCAUGUCAACACACAUCCAGUCUGCUGUAGUCAUUUACUGUUCAAUGAUGAAAUAGGAACGAUUGUCCAGAAAUAAUCAUAAGAACGUCAAUUUGUUUUGAUUGAUGAUUCGGAUCAUAAUUCAAUUGAAUAUAACUGAUAUGUGGGUUUUCAUAUUUGUUUUGUUUUGUGGGUUUAAGGCGUUUUUAAAUGUAUCAUUAAUUAAAUUGAAAAAAAUGUAAUCAAUAAUAAUACAAAUAGUUAUUUGAAUAAUUGAAUAAAGAAGCAAUUAUAGUGAAAA